GAUGAACGCUAGCGAUAGGCCUAACACAUGCAAGUCGAGGGGCAGCAUAGAGUAGCAAUACUUUGAUGGCGACCGGCGCACGGGUGAGUAACACGUAUGCAACCUACCUACAUCAGGGGAAUAACCCGGAGAAAUUCGGACUAAUACCGCAUAAUACAGGGAUGCCGCAUGGCAAUAUUUGUUAAAGAUUUAUCAGAUGUAGAUGGGCAUGCGUUCCAUUAGCUGGUUGGUAUGGUAACGGCUUACCAAGGCAACGAUGGAUAGGGGAACUGAGAGGUUUGUCCCCCACACUGGAACUGAGACACGGACCAGACUCCUACGGGAGGCAGCAGUGAGGAAUAUUGGUCAAUGGACGAGAGUCUGAACCAGCCAAAUCGCGUGAAGGAAGACUGCCCUACGGGUUGUAAACUUCUUUUGUACAGGAAUAAAAGACAUUACGUGUAAUGUAUUGCAUGUACUGUACGAAUAAGCAUCGGCUAACUCCGUGCCAGCCGCCGCAGUAA
rnacentral:rRNA from 1 species